UGGUGGUGAUGGUGGUGGUGGUUGUGAAAGUGGUGGUGAUGAAAGUGGUGAAAGUGGAGGUGAUGGAGGUGGUGAAAGUGGUGGUGAUGGAGGUGGUGAUGGAGGUGGUGGUGGUGGUGUUGAUGGAGGUGGUGGUGGUGGUGAAAGUGGUGGUGGUGGAGAAAGUGGUGAAAGUGGUGGUGGUAGUGGUGGUAGUGGUGGUGGUGAAAGUGGUGGUAGUGAAAGUGGUGAAAGUGGUGGUGAUGGAGGAGGUGGUGGUGGUGGUGAAAAGUGGUGAGUGGUGGUGAUGAAAGUGGUGAAAGUGGUGGUAGUGGUGGUGAUGGAGGUGGUGGUGAAAUGGUGAAAGUGGUCGUGGAGAAAGUGGUGAAAUUGGUGGUGGUGAAAGUGGUGGUGAAAGUGGUGGUGGUGGUGGUGGUAGUGGUGGUGAUGGAGGUGGUGAUGGAGGUGGUGGUGGUGGUGAUGGAGGUGGUGGUGAAAGUGGUGGUGGUGGUGGUGGAGAAAGUGGUGAAAGUGGUGGUGGUAGUGGUGGUGGUGAUGAUGGUGAAAGUCAUGGUGGUGAAAGUGGUGAAGGUGGUGGUGAUGGAGGUGUUGAUGGAGGUGGUGGUGGUGGUAGUGGUGGUGUUGGAGGUGGUGGUGAA
ensembl:lncRNA